ensembl:lncRNA
GGUCACGAUUGAAAAUUAUUGACAGUUUUUAGAGACGUGCAAAGGGAGAUUGAAAGGUAAGCCGGCUUCACAUGUCACCUGUAAGCUGCCCCGUCCUUUUCCACUGCCCAUCGCAACAGUCGUGGUCCUUCUACUUCUCCUCACCACACUGUGUACAUCUACAGUGCACUACUCCUGCCUCUCUCCCUUCCCUAUCUGACAAAAGAUGCACGUCCUCUCCCUCCUCUCCAUGUCAGAAACAGGACGCCGACCAGAGGGAUGAUCCCGGGGACCAGGAGCGGGCCAGUUGCUUCUGCUGAGGCAUGGGAGCCUGACGACCCGACUGAGGCGCGGGAGCCUGACGACCCGACUGAGGCGCGGGAGCCUGACAACCCGGCAGAGGCAUGGGGAGCCUGAUGACCCGGCAGAGGCAUGGGGAGUCUGACGACCCGGCAGAGGCACGGGAACCUGACGACCUGACUGAGGCAUGGGGAGCCUGAUGACCCGACUGAGGUGCGGGAGCCUGAUGACCCGACUGAGGUGCGGGAGCCUGACGACCCGACUGAGGUGCGGGAGCCUGACGACCCGACUGAGGCAUGGGGGAGCCUGAUGACCCGACUGAGGUGCGGGAGCCUGACGACCCGACUGAGGCAUGGGGGAGCCUGACAACCCGGCAGAGGCAUGGGGGAGCCUGAUGACCCAACUGAGGUGCGGGAGCCUGAUGACCCGACUGAGGCAUGGGGGAGCCUGACAACCCGGCAGAGGCAUGGGGGAGCCUGACGACCCGACUGAGGCAUGGGGGAGCCUGACGACCCGGCCGAGGCAUGGUGGAGCCUCACGACCCGACUGAGGCGCGGGGGAGCCUGAUGACCCGACUGAGGCGCGGGAGCCUGACUACCCGACUGAGGUGCGGGAGCCUGACGACACGACUGAGGCAUGGGGGAGCCUGACGACCCGGCCGAGGCAUGGGAAGCCUGACGAGCCGGCCGAGGCAUGGGAAGCCUGACGAGCCAGCUGAGGCAUCCCCGGUUGCUCCGGUAGAGGCACCCGGAUCCGACGUCACCUACACUAACAAAAAACGAAAAAAUGCUCCCCUUUAGUGAGGCAUUAUUCUGUAAUGUGUACGCUGGGAGUCGGAAAGUAAGUCCAGAGAGUGAUUUUAAUAAUAAAUAACACAAGGAAACAAACCAAGAAACAUGAGUAACGUACAGACAUGAAACAAUGGAACAGAAACAAUAACACCUAGGGAAAGAACCAAAGGGAGUGACAUAUAUAGGGAAGCUAAUCAGGCAGGUAAUUGAGUCCAGGUGAGUCUGAUGAGGGGCUAAUGCGAGUAACGAUGUUGACAGGUGUACGUAAUAAUGAGCAGCCUGACGAAUUAGAGCGCCGGAGAGGGAGUAUACGGGACAGUGGGUGUAUCUGUAAUGAGUUUAAUGGAUUGAUUUUGGUGAGGAGAUGUUCCUCUCUGGGCAGUACUGCAGAGAUUUCCUGAUUAUCCUGUUUUUAGAGACAUGCUGUUCCAUGACUGGAAAGUUCCCCAGGUGUCUGCGAAAAUGGAUCUAUUCACUCUUUUAUGGCCAGUUCGAGAGCAACUGUUUUCCCUCACACAAUUCUAAAAAUUAUACUCAACACCAUGUGUAACACCAUAGAAACACACCAUUUUCACAUUAUGUUGAUGCACCAGGUGGUGCUGGAGAAACAUUUAGAAAUUUCCCUUUAAACAUUUGAAACGUUUACAUCCCUAUUUUAUAUGUCUCCACACUAUGAGAUUGGAAUAAUACUGUGAAAUUGUGAAAAUGAUUAUAAUGCAGACUCCUUAAAUUUAGGCCUCCUGAAAUUUAGGCCUGACAUUUCAGCCUGUUGUGGUGCGAAUAAGUUUUGGCCUGCCUGGUGACAUCACCAAAUGGUAGAUUAGAUAAUAGACCAAUAGCUAAAUUCUUGCUUGAUAAAUUGCUCUUUGUUAAUUAGCUAUUUUUGUUUCUUUUUGACCAUUUGAAUUUAAAACUAUCACAGUAACUUACUUAAUUGUUCCCAACAAAAAUGAUUUGAUAUUGAGAUAAAAACAGCUGCAUCGGACCUUUAAGACUCAGUGUAAGACUGUUCAGUGUAUAGGUAUUGUACAGUCAAAGUGAGCAUGUAAAUAUUUCCAUGCUAUAUGAUGAUGCAUACCGCACUGUGCCAUUAAUCAUUUUCUUUAGGCUGAAUGUCACAGUCGGGUGCAGUGCCUCCUGCUUCUAGCUCGCCUUGUAUAUACAUCCCUCCAG